rnacentral:rRNA from 1 species
GACGAACGCUGGCGGCGUGCUUAACACAUGCAAGUCGAGCGGAAAGGCCACUUCGGUGGUACUCGAGCGGCGAACGGGUGAGUAACACGUGAGUAAUCUGCCCCUCACUUUGGGAUAGCCACCGGAAACGGUGAUUAAUACCGGAUAUGACCAUAUGUCGCAUGGCGUGUGGUGGAAAGUUUUUCGGUGAGGGAUGUGCUCGCGGCCUAUCAGCUUGAUGGUGAGGUAAUGGCUCACCAUGGCUUCGACGGGUAGCCGGCCUGAGAGGGUGACCGGUCACACUGGGACUGAGACACGGCCCAGACUCCUACGGGAGGCAGCAGUGGGGAAUAUUGGACAAUGGGCGGAAGCCUGAUCCAGCAACGCCGCGUGAGGGAGGACGGCCUUCGGGUGGUAAACCUCUUUCAGUACCGACGAAGCGCAAGUGACGGUAGGUACAGAAGAAGCACCGGCCAACUACGU